UGUGGUUUUGCAUGGAGAGAAAAUGAAGACAAGGGGCCAUUUUCCUGGGUGGACCUAACAAAGCCCUCUUGGAACACAUAUCCAGUCCAACUUGUAUUUUUCUUUCAAUGCAUUUCCCUAAGUUUGUGAUUAUGGUUUUUUGGAUUCUGG